AACGAACGCUAGCGGCAUGCCUAACACAUGCAAGUCGAACGAGACCUUCGGGUCUAGUGGCGCACGGGUGCGUAACGCGUGGGAACCUGCCCUUAGGUUCGGAAUAACUCCCCGAAAGGGGUGCUAAUACCGGAUAAUGUCUUCGGACCAAAGAUUUAUCGCCUUUGGAUGGGCCCGCGUUGGAUUAGCUAGUUGGUAGGGUAAAAGCCUACCAAGGCGACGAUCCAUAGCUGGUCUGAGAGGAUGAUCAGCCACACUGGGACUGAGACACGGCCCAGACUCCUACGGGAGGCAGCAGUGGGGAAUAUUGGACAAUGGGCGAAAGCCUGAUCCAGCAAUGCCGCGUGAGUGAUGAAGGCCUUAGGGUUGUAAAGCUCUUUUACCCGGGAUGAUAAUGACAGUACCGGGAGAAUAAGCUCCGGCUAACUCCGCG
rnacentral:rRNA from 1 species